rnacentral:rRNA from 1 species
GAUGAACGCUAGCUACAGGCUUAACACAUGCAAGUCGAGGGGCAGCAUGGUCUUAGCUUGCUAAGGCUGAUGGCGACCGGCGCACGGGUGAGUAACACGUAUCCAACCUGCCGUCUACUCUUGGACAGCCUUCUGAAAGGAAGAUUAAUACAAGAUGGCAUCAUGAGUCCGCAUGUUCACAUGAUUAAAGGUAUUCCGGUAAAGGAUGGGGAUGCGUUCCAUUAGGUUGUUGGUGAGGUAACGGCUCACCAAGCCUU